rnacentral:lncRNA from 1 species
AAGCCACCGAGGAGGUUGUCUCAUCAUGGCAGGGCUGGCUUCAUCCUGCUUCCUGCCCCCCCCAGACAGGUGGCUGAGGUGCAGCAGGACGUCGCACGGUUCCUGCGUGCGGCAAGGAGGCUGCUGGAAAGGUGGGCUCCCAGCUUGCUCCCCAGAACCUCGCCAUGUCAGGACCCUCACCUCUCUGCUGGGUGGGCCGUGGCCCAGCUGAGCUGCACGGGUCCCAGGCCCGAGCCAGCCCUUCUCAGCAUUUGCUACUGAACAUCGAGAACAUUCUGGGUGGGGCUCCAGAGAACAGAAGCCUCUCCAAGACCCCGAAGUCAGAGCCCACGCAGACCGAACUCACUGGGCUGGAAACCUCGGUGGUCACAUGGGAGGCCUGGGGCCGAGGCCGGUCAGCUCCAGGCCACUGGCUCCUGGCUGCCCCCGUGAGCCAGUCGGAGGGGCUGCUGUCCCGGCAUGCUGGGCUCCCGUGUCAGGGCAGCAGAGCCCCACCGGGUGCUGGCGGCAUUAAGUCAUUAAUCCCCACACCUUCCUUGUGAGAAAAACUAGUGUCCAGAGAAUAUGGAGAAACUGAAGCUUCCCAGGCCCAACUCCUCGCCUUUCUGAUGUCAGGGUCCACCUUCCACCAUGGAGACAAACAGCCAAGGACACUCAUCUGAAAAACCCUUUGUCUCCUCCACUGGAAGCAGCUCCAGACACAGG